UUGACCAUGAAUGUAAAGAGGAUAACAUAAUGAAUAAAACAGGUGAGAAGAGAAAUUGUGUAGUAAAACUGUCGGUGUCUGCAACCACGAGGAGGUGUUGAAACGUUUUCUCCUGAGUUGGAAACGGUCUGUCCGUGUUGCUUUAUACAAAGACUUAGAGACAUUGAGGACUACUCCCUUCCCCCUUACAGGGGGUGGUACAGGGAGAAAACGUUUUCUGACUGGU